UUAAAUAAAAGCAGCGCAAGGCACAUGGCAGAUAGAGUGCAAACCAGUGAACAAACAGUGCAGAUAAAAAGAUUUUUAGUGCAUAAAAAAAUAGCUUAUUCAGUCUGAUUAAAAGUGACAAAGGGCUCAAGAGCAGUUAUUUUAUUAAACUGACUGAUGAGGUGGUAGAAUGAUGUCAGUUCCAUGGUGAAUGAGUGAAUGAGGUAGUGAGCAGACCACUGCUGCACAAAGUGACUGGUGCAUGACAUCGUAUGUUAGAGGGAGGGGGGGUUCAUAGUUCAGUGGUGCCUGAGGCAGAAGAGGGACGGGGGGGCAAGUUCGGGAGCGAGUUCAGCUUCCUGACAGCCUGAUGGAUGAAGUUGUCCUUCAGUCUGCUGGUCCUGGCCUGGAGACUUCGCAGUCUCCUCCCUGAUGGCAGCAGACUGAAGAAGCUGUGUGACGGGUGAGUGGGAUCACCUGCAAUGCAGAGGGCUUUUCGAGUGAGACGGGUUCCAUAAAUGUCCUGGAGGGAGGGAGAGAGACACCAAUGAUCUUCUCAGCUGCUCUCACUAUGCGUUGCAGAGUCUUCCGGCAGGACGCGUUGCAGGCGCCAUACCACACAGUGAUGCAGCUGGUCAGAAUGCUCUCGAUGGUGCCUCUGUAGAAGGUAUACAUGAUGGGGGGUGGGGCUCUGGCUCUCCUCAGUUUGCGGAGGAAGUAGAGACGCUGCUGUGAUUUCUUGGCCAGUGCUGCGGUGUUGUCGGUCCAGGAGAGGUCCUCUGUGAUGUGCACACCCAGGAACUUGGUGCUGCUCACUCUCUCCACAGUCGCACCGUUGAUGGUCAGAGGAACAUGCUGAGUGUGCACUCUCCUGAAGUCAACAACAAUCUCCUUUAUCUUCUCCACGUUCAGAGAGAGAUUGUUGUCACUGCACCACCCGGCCAGGCGGCUCACCUCGCUCCUGUAGUUUGUCUCAUCUCUGUUGCUAAUGAGACCCACCACAGUCGUGUCAUCCGCAAACUUAAUGAAGAGGUUGGAGUUGUGUGACGGUGUGCAGUCGUGGGUCAGCAGAGUGAAGAGGAGGGGGCUCAGCACACAUCCUUGGGGGGCCCCAGUGUUCAGUGUGAUGGUGCUGGAUGUGUUGCUGCCGACACAUACUGCCUGAGGUCUUCCAGUCAGAAAGUCCAACAGCCAGUUGCACAGCGAAGUGUUGAGCCCCAGCUCGACCAGUUUGUGAAUGAGCUGUUGAGGGAUGAUUGUGUUGAAUGCUGAACUGAAGUCUAUGAACAGCAUUCUGACGUAUGAGUCUUUUUUCUCUAGAUGUGUGAGUGCUGAGUGGAGGGUAGUUGAGAUGGCAUCAUCGGUCGACCGGUUGGACCGAUAUGCAAACUGGAAUGGGUCCAGGGAGGGGGGGAGGGCAGACUUGAUGUGGU
ensembl:lncRNA